rnacentral:lncRNA from 1 species
GUGGGACCUGGUGAUGGGAUCUGGUAUCAGGAUCUGGUAUUGUGACCUGGCAGGAUCCAGUGAGAUCCCAAGGCGAGGCUUUCCCGCCCUGCCAGGUGGAUUUCAUCUGGAUCACGCGGGACCAGCAGCACCUGCAGUGGUUCCUGGGCCUCCUGGCCAAGCUGGAGGCGGAGCAGGCGGAGCUGGAGGCGGGAGGUGAGCGGGAGAGCCCGGCAUCAUUCCCGGGAGCACCCCCAGCCCANUUUUCCAUCCCCAGGAUCUGCUUCCCACCCUUGGGAUAUGUUUCCCAUCCCUGGAAUAUUUCCCACCCUCAGGAUCCGUUUCCCACCCCUGGAAUCUGUUUCCCACCCUCAGGAUCUGUUUCCCACCCUUGGGAUUUCUUUUCCCACCCCUGGGAUCUGUUUCCCAUCCCUGGAAUAUUUCCCACCCUCAGGAUCCGUUUCCCACCCUUGGGAUUUCUUUUCCCACCCCUGGGAUCUGUUUCCCAUCCCUGGAAUGUUUCCCAACCCCAGGAUCUGUUUUCCAUGCCCACAGUGACGUUUUUCCAGCUCGGAUGGGGCUUGGAGCGAGCCGGGCUAUGGGAGGCGGUUCCAUGGGAUGAGUUGGGUUUGAAGUUCUUCCCAAUCCAGAGAAUUCCAGGAUUUUGGGAUUGAUCCCCACAGAAACCCUCUGGCUGCACAUCCGGGCGCGGGGCCAAUGGACCACCAAGCUCUACGAGUACUUCCAGCAGCUGGAAUUGCACGGCCCGGAGCCGAAUCCACUCGGGAAGAGCCGCAGGGAGCGGAGGAGCCGGCACUGGGAACAGGAAGGAUCUGUGGCCUCGGGCAGGGAUGGAGCCGUGGAGCUGACGGCGUUCCGAGCCUCCGGAGCUGCUUUCCCGGGAAAGGACCCGGAGCAGGGGGACACCGGGCCUGGGGAGAGCCAGCGGAGCUGCAGCGUCAAGUGCUUCCUGGACGGUCCCUACGGAACGCCGAGCCGGCGGAUCUUCACCUCGGAGCACGCCGUUCUCAUCGGGGCCGGCAUCGGGAUCACCCCCUUCGCCUCCAUCCUGCAGAGCAUCAUGAUCCGGUGGGUCCCCAGGGAUUUGGGAACUCCCCAGGGAUUUGGGAUGCCUGGGUGGAGCUGUCAUCCAACCCUUGAUCCUUGGGAUUCUGUCCUUGGGAUUCAUUCCCACGGGCACAGGUGCGGCCUCUCCUGGUGCCAGGAUUCUCCUUGGGGAUUUGGGCUGGGGGAAAGGCGCUGGAGGGAGAU